GACGUAGGGUGCGAGCGUUGUCCGGAUUUAUUGGGCGUAAAGAGCUCGUAGGCGGCUCGUCGCGUCGACCGUGAAAACCCGCAGCUUAACUGCGGGCUUGCGGUUGAUACGGGCGGGCUAGAGUUCGGUAGGGGAGACUGGAAUUCCUGGUGUAGCGGUGAAAUGCGCAGAUAUCAGGAGGAACACCGGUGGCGAAGGCGGGUCUCUGGAACGGUACUGACGCUGAGACGCGAAAGCGUGGGGAGCGAACAGG
rnacentral:rRNA from 1 species